rnacentral:lncRNA from 1 species
CUUUCACCAGCUUCUCAAAGAGGACUGUGGCCUAAUAAAAACUAGUGAGUGGAGGGGGCCAGCAGCUGUCGGGGGAGGGGCCAGGAGAGACAUGCCAAGGGCAGAGUGGGGCUCCCAGGCCUCAUCGUCACCCCUGUGUGUGUGUGUGGCUGGCUGUUCCAUCAUGGGGUCCAUGGCUUCAAAACAGGGAAGCACUGGAAUCCACGAGGAGGAGGGCUUGCCAGACAGGAUGGCAAUGGUUGAGGCCUCUGGCCCCAGCCCUCUGGGCUCUGGUGCCCAUUGCCCCUGGAAGAUUCUUAGCUUUCUGGAUGAGACAGCCCUUGCUAGUAGAAAGCUCUACCUUCUGCUGAACUGAAACACCAUUGGAUGUGACUUCCCUUGUCCUCCCUCAUUUCCUCCCUCACCAAACCCCAGCAAGUGCAGCUUACACAGGCGCUAUUCCCUCCGGUAUCCCGCAGCUCAUCAGCAGCACUGUCCUCUGCUCAGCUCACCUGCCUCAGGGCACCUGGUCCUGCAGGGCCAGCCACUCUUCUUCAAACUCCAUCUCCAACAUCAUUUCUUCUUUGCAGCUGUCCCCCACAGGUCUCUCUGGCUUCAUACAAUGGCUGGCCUACAUCUCCAUCAAAGCACUUCCUCCAUCACAGGGCAACCAUCCACUUAGCUGCCCAGAUAGAGCUCUAUGAACUGCUUUGCUCCUCAAGGGCUUUUGAUUCGUUACCUGUUCCAGGGAAGUAAGCAUGCCCAGUUCAUGUGCCAAGACUCCAAGGGCAUUUACAGGAGAAAGCCAGCAACUCAUUGGCAAUCUGGGGGAGCCCCAGAGAAAAGAGGCCAUGGCCAAGGGCACUCAAGGGCAGUCAGCAGAGCCAGGGCUGGACCACUAGCUCCUGAUCCCCCAGGCCAGCGCACCCCAGGUCACCCAUUCAGAUCCAGGCAGCCUAAUGCCACAUAGGUGCCCAUGUGGGAAGGAGGCAGUCAGGAUAUGGGCUCCACCCUGAGGUUCUCUUAACAUGAAGGGCUGAAAAAGCACAAAUGGAUCAUUAGGAACUGUGAGAAAGAAGAUAUGUUGGCAGACACUAGAACCUUCCAUUCCAGUCUGUAUCUCUUGUCACCAGC